rnacentral:antisense_RNA from 1 species
CUUGACCGAGCCCAGCAACAGCGGCCGCUCGGCGGGGUGUUCCUUGCCGUACGUCGCGAGCAGCGCCUGCGCCUC